UACGUAGGGGGCAAGCGUUGUCCGGAAUCAUUGGGCGUAAAGAGCGCGUAGGCGGUCCGGUAAGUCGGUUGUGAAAACUGGGGGGCUCAACCCUCAGAGGCCGACCGAUACUGUCGGGCUAGAGUCCGGAAGAGGCGAGUGGAAUUCCUGGUGUAGCGGUGAAAUGCGCAGAUAUCAGGAGGAACACCAAUGGCGAAGGCAGCUCGCUGGGACGGUACUGACGCUGAGGCGCGAAAGCGUGGGGAGCAAACAGG
rnacentral:rRNA from 1 species